GAUGAACGCUGGCGGCGUGCCUAAUACAUGCCAGUCGAGCGAACAGACGAGGAGCUUGCUCCUCUGACGUUAGCGGCGGACGGGUGAGUAACACGUGGAUAACCUACCUAUAAGACUGGGAUAACUUCGGGAAACCGGAGCUAAUACCGGAUAAUAUAUUGAACCGCAUGGUUCAAUAGUGAAAGACGGUUUUGCUGUCACUUAUAGAUGGAUCCGCGCCGCAUUAGCUAGUUGGUAAGGUAACGGCUUACAAAGGCAACGAUGCGUAGCCGACCUGAGAGGGUGAUCGGCCACACUGGAACGGAGACACGGUCCAGACUCCUACGGGAGGCAGCAGUAGGGAAUCUUCCGCAAUGGGCGAAAGCCUGACGGAGCAACGCCGCGUGAGUGAUGAAGGUCUUCGGAUCGUAAAACUCUGUUAUUAGGGAAAAACAAAUGUGUAAGUAACUAUGCACGUCUUGACGGUACCUAAUCAGAAAGCCACGGCUAACUACGUG
rnacentral:rRNA from 1 species